ACACCCCCAAGCAGCCAUGGCUGUUUCACACCCCUUCCCCGCCUCUUCUCCGUCACACACGCGCACACCUCACUGCUCCGAGCAUUCAUGACCGCUGCUUCAUCGUCUUCACGCCUCGUCAACCAUUCGCCUCCAGCUUCAUCGCAUCGUGAACGACCAACCUCUGCGGCGUCUUCUACGACCAGCUCCAAGCCACGAAUGACUGGCUUCUGCUGCGUCUUCUCCAGUCGCAAGCUCCAGCUCCACCAUGGCUGAGCUUCGUCGCCACCUCCAAGCCAUGAACAAUCGCGAACGACCCCAAGCUCGAGCCAUCAUGGUGCAGGUCAAGCCCAAGCCCCAGUCGUCCUCACGACCAGCAGCUAUAGCCAUCGAUGACCACCACGCUGCUGCUGCUGCGUUUUCUUCACUUCCAUGGCUGCUGCGGCGUUUCCUUCUUCGUCCUCUUCCAAAUGACCAAACUACUUUCCGUUCGAGUUCGUCGUCGCUUCGAUCCGGUUAGUAGGUUUGAGUUUCAUUUUGCCCGUAAUUUUGUUUUGAUAUUCUCAGAUCUAAAAUCGAUAAAUGUUCGAUUCUUGUUUUGUUCAUGUUUAUCGUUGAAUUAAUUUUUUAGUUUGUUCAUGUGUUUUGUUGAUUUAAUUUUCAGAUUCAAAUGAAAAUUUAAUUAAUUGUUUUUUAGUUUAUUUCAUGUGUUUUAUUUGUUUUGUAAAAGAAAUUGUUAGUUUAAUUUUUAUGUUGUUAGAAUCAAAUUGAAAUUUAAUUACUUAUUUUGGUUUGUUUCAUGUUAAUUUUAUUUAUUUUUGUAAAAAGGAAUUGUUAGUUUAAUUUUAAUAUUGUUAGAUUUAGUUUAAUCGCUCGAAUCAUUCGUCUUUGUUGAUUAGUUUAGAUUAAAUUCGUGUUCAUUUUUUGGUUGAAGUUCAUUCUUAAUCCGUUGAUUUAAUGUGAAUUUAUGUUUUAAAUGAUUGAUUUAAUUUGAAUAUUCAUCUUGGUUGUAAUGUUGUUGGAUUUAGUUUAAAGAUUAAUUGGUUAUUGAAUUUAGAAAUUCAAAUAUACUUGUUGGUUGUGUUCAAUUUGUUAAUAUUGUUGAAUCUGCAACUAUAUGUGUGGUUAAAAAUAUCGUUCAGUAAAAAUAAUUUUGAUUGUUGAUUUGUUGUUCAUAGUUUAAGUUUGAAUUCGUUGAUUGAACUGGAUUGGUUAUAGCUGGUAAUUUAAUUUUAGGUUCUUAAAUAAUUUUGAAGUUGAACAGAUUUUUGAAUCGGGGCGUAACAGUAGUUUUAGGGGGUAAAACGGGAAUUAACCAAUCACAUGUUAUUUAAUUAUGGUGGAGACCAGACAUAAUGAUAAAAGCAAAAAGGAAAAGGUGGAUAAUGAUGUCUUCUUUUCAAAAAGAGGGAACAUGGGGACCCACUUUGACUACUUUUCAAAAAGAGGGAACAUAGGUGCCCAUGUUGACUACUUUUACUAAAGUAAAAAUGUAGGUAAUAAUAAAAAGUUAAAGGGUGCACAUAGUGGAAGAAAAUUGGGUUAAUAAAGUAAAAGAGGUAAAAGGGAGUCUUGCUUUGGAUAUAAGAGGACUCAUUUAACACUUAAAGAAAAAGAAGGGGAUUUUUGGAAGAAUUUUGGGAGAGAAAUUUCAAAACUAAAGGAGAGAACAAAAACUGAAAAAAAAAAUCUUCUACUUUCCUUCAUUGUUUGAAAUCAGCAUUAAUUGUUGUUGUUUCAUCGAAGCUUGAAGCUUCUUUUUUUGGGAUUACUACUCCACCGGUUUGCAAACUCUGUUCCUGGGUUGUUACUGUUGCUGGGCUGUUGUUAUUGUGCUGUAUUGUUACUACUGCUGCUGAUUCUCAUCUUUAUCUUCUUUUAUUUCCAAUACCAGGUACACGACUGUAAUACUAGCUAUUACAAGAUAAUAAUGUGGAAGCAUGAAUACAUAUGAAGAAUGAAAUUUUGAAGUUUUGAUUUCGCUUUUUCUUUCUUCCUUUUAUUGAUUGUAUUUAGGCUAU
rnacentral:lncRNA from 1 species